rnacentral:ncRNA from 1 species
AAAGCUUAGUAGUUCUUAGUUGUGCUGUACAAAAAACAGUGAUGACCGCACAAGGACGUGCAGUCAAGCAAUCAGCGACACGAUGUCGCAUUGAUUGCGUUCACGUUCGUUUUAAUAUCUAUAUCAGCACAUCUUAGAACUCCUUAGCU